CACGUAGGGGCCAAGCGUUGUCCGGAUUUAUUAGGCGUAAAGAGCGUGUAGGCGGUUAGGUAGGUCCGUUGUGAAAACUCGAGGCUCAACCUCGAGACGCCGAUGGAAACCAUCUGACUAGAGUCCGGAAGAGGAGAGUGGAAUUCCUGGUGUAGCGGUGAAAUGCGCAGAUAUCAGGAAGAACACCCGUGGCUAAGGCGGCUCUCUAGUACGGUACUGACGCUGAGACGCGAAAGCGUGGGGAGCGAACAGG
rnacentral:rRNA from 1 species